rnacentral:rRNA from 1 species
UACGUAGGGGGGCAAGCGUUGUCCGGAAUUAUUGGGCGUAAAGCGCGCGCAGGCGGUCAAUUAAGUUGGGUGUUUAAGCCCGGGGCUCAACCCCGGUUCGCAUCCAAAACUGGUUGACUUGAGUGUAGGAGAGGAAAGUGGAAUUCCACGUGUAGCGGUGAAAUGACGUAGAGAUGUGGAGGAACACCAGUGGCGAAGGC